rnacentral:rRNA from 1 species
AAGACUGGGGCUCAACCCCAGGGGUGCGUUGGAUACUGUGAGGCUAGACGGUCGGAGGGGGUAGCGGAAUUUCCGGAGUAGCGGUGAAAUGCGCAGAUACCGGAAGGAACGCCAAUAGCGAAGGCAGCUACCUGGACGACUUGUGACGCUGAGGCGCGAAAGCGUGGGGAGCAAACCGGAUUAGAUACCCGGGUAGUCCACGCCCUAAACCAUGAGUGCUGGGUGUCCGGCUUCUGCUGGGUGCCGUAGCUAACGCGCUAAGCACUCCGCCUGGGAAGUACGCACGCAAGUGUGAAACUCAAAGGAAUUGACGGGGGCCCGCACAAGCGGUGGAGCAUGUGGUUUAAUUCGAAGCGACGCGAAGAACCUUACCAGGCCUUGACAUGCCCGGAACCCCUCUGAAAGGAGGGGGUGCCCGCAAGGGAGCCGGGACACAGGUGCUGCAUGGCCGUCGUCAGCUCGUGUCGUGAGAUGUUGGGUUAAGUCCCGCAACGAGGGCAACCCCUAUCCCUAGUUGCCAGCAGUUCGGCUGGGCACUCUAUGGAGACUGCCUGCGAAAGCAGGAGGAAGGCGGGGAUGACGUCUGGUCCGCAUGGCCCUUACGGCCUGGGCGACACACGUGCUACAAUGCCAAGGACAGAGCGCUGCUACCUCGCGAGAGGACGCCAAUCGCAAAAACCUUGGCUCAGUUCGGAUUGGAGUCUGCAACUCGACUCCAUGAAGCCG